rnacentral:rRNA from 1 species
GACGAACGCUGGCGGCGUGCCUAAUACAUGCAAGUAGAACGCUGAAGGAGGAGCUUGCUUCUCUGGAUGAGUUGCGAACGGGUGAGUAACGCGUAGGUAACCUGCCUGGUAGCGGGGGAUAACUAUUGGAAACGAUAGCUAAUACCGCAUAAUAGCAGUUGUUGCAUGACAACUGUUUGAAAGGUGCAAUUGCACCACUACCAGAUGGACCUGCGUUGUAUUAGCUAGUUGGUGGGGUAACGGCUCACCAAGGCGACGAUACAUAGCCGACCUGAGAGGGGGAUCGGCCACACUGGGAAUGAGACACGGCCCAGACUCCUUCGGGAGGCAGCAGUAGGGAAUCUUCGGGAAAGGGCGGAAGGCUGAACGAGGAACGCCGCGUGAGGGAAGAAGGGUUUCGGAUCGGAAAGCUCUGUUGUAAGAGAAGAAAGAGUGUGAGAGUGGAAAGUUCACACUGUGACGGUAUCUUACCAGAAAGGGACGGCUAACUACGUG